GCCCUAACAGAGGCUGAGUUUAGGGAGAGCUGUCUACCCAUCUCUCCCUGCCGUGUUUCUGCUUCCACCAGCUUUUGCUAAGUUUCCCCAUUUUACACUGGCUUGACAACUGCUUUUCCACCAACCUAUGGUCUUCUGGAGCCCUUUAGAGCCUUUUCUGCACUUCUGAUCACCCUGUACUCAUGAGUUACGGAACUGAGCUCUUGGGAACAGCUUCCACACCAGGGUUUCUAGGUUUCUGACUCACAAAAUGUCAAAAGAAUGGCUCUGGGGUAUGAGAAACAGACAGUGCAUCUGGGGGUGGAUGCUGCACAGAAGCUCUAAUGUUUCCCUGGAGAAACAAACUACCCAGCUCCUGGUUGUAAUGGUAUACUGGGAGUGGCUGUGCAGACGCGCAUAGACAACUAAGUGGAAGGCAGGUACUGGACAGAGACAUACUGCUUGUUUGUUCUAAAGAAGGUCUGAGCAAAGCAUUGUAGAUAGAUCCCUUGGGACAGUUGGUGUUGCCCAAGAACAGAAUAAGGCCUGGCUGGGAAUGGGAGGGAGGCCAGGGUGAUGAUGUCAUUCAUUAACUCUCAAUCUUGUAACUCAGCAGUGGAAGUUCUUCCUACUCACUAGGGUUGUGAGCAGCCCUAGUUUUACUAAGUGGGCAACAAUGAACUUGUUCAUAAUGCAGCUUUGUAAGCAGUCAGUCUCUUCCCAGGCAAAGCCCAUUCUGGAAAGCCAUCAACUUUAUUACUUUGUAUGCACACACAGGACACAUACAGCCAUGCACACAGGGAACAGGAAUAAGCACAGAUACAUGGAAGACAGACACAUCCAGACAGAUGGACAUGGACACCCAGGCAGUUGAAAUGUACACACACAAACACACACACACACACACACACACACACACACACACAGGGGCAUAGGCAUACAGACACACUAAAGCUAAAGAAUAUUAAGUGCUAGAGAAAAUCUUAAAAGUCUUUUAAGAAAUUUAUAACUCCCUUACUUUACAGAGGAGGAAACUGUAGCUGAGAGAAGGGAAGAGACUAGCUUAAAACACAUGACUUAUUUUUUCUUUCCUUCUAGGUCCCGAACUCGGACCCUUGCCCAUGAGCUCAGCAGGACUAUGUACCUUCUUGGGUCUGGCUCCCUGCCCUGUGGUGUAGGGGAUUAAACCUGAGCAAAGAGCUGGGGUGACCACUUUGUGCGGUUCCCUUCUGUGGAUGGUUGUAUUUCCCUAAAUGACCACAACAAUCUCUCUCCCAUUCCCAUGCUCCACUACAGUGUGACCUCAGCACUGCUCCCCACCCGCUGUGGUGUCUACAUGCUCUGCCCCUGACCUGAGGCUGGUGACUGCUCCAGCCAAUGGAGUACAGCACAACUGAUGUAAUGCAAUUUCCUAAUCCAGGUCAGAAAAAGGAUGCAACUUCAUCUCCUUCUUUCACUCUCUCCUCUGCCCCACCUUGAACUCUCAUCCCAGAGAUCCAGCCACCAUGUUCUGAGGCAGCCCAAACCAGCUCACAUGGAGACCAUGUGGAUUGGCCCCCAUAGAGAAGAACUGAAGCCCCCAGCUGACAGCCAGCAUCAACUGCCAGAUAGUGACCACUGUUUCAGGCACUGUGUGAGGCACGGAGGGGUCAGAGAUGAACUACACAACCCAACUAGAAAAUAUUUCAGCUUCUAAUCAGGAUGCCUACUGGCUGACUCUAGCUGGAAGUUACAGCUUGAAGGAAUCCCUGAAACUGAAAUGCCGCCUGAAAGGGGUCAGCUCCCCAUGUGAGGACCUGAGGAAUGGAUUGGGGGCAAACAGGCCCAGUACUAAGACCUUUCUAGACACACUGUGCUAAAGCUAUGUGUAAAAUGUACCUGCUGUCUUGCCUAAAUAUGCAGAGUGAGACCAGGAUAGCGGAGGUAGAGGGAGCUGGAUCUUGUAGUAUAAAGAAUGACUGGAUAAAGAUAAAAGAUCUUAAGAUAAUCAUUGCAGGUAAUCAUUCCCGGGAAAAAGCCUGGAAGGCAGGAGGGCACAGGACUCAAUCACAGGAAGCACCUUUGGAAAGAAGCUCCAGAGCAAUGCACACUAGGAGGAAUUCUCUUGUUUCAAGUUUGAGAGAUGCUCUAAAAAGAACACUAGACUUGGACCAAGGGCCUGGGAGUGAACUUGGCUUCUGCCCCUAAUUGGCUGUGUGGACCUGGUAAAGAAUUUUGCCUCCCCAAGCUUCAGUGUUCUCAUCUACAAAAUGUGGAUAACAACAAUACCUAUUUCACAGGGCUGUCCAGAAGAUUAAAAGAGAUAUGGAUAUAAAUAAGCUAAAUGCCACUCCUCUGAUGAGAUUCUUCAGAUGUUCCCUGUUGUUUUUUCACUUAAUAUUCAAAUUCCUCCACAAGGCAUAUGAAGCUCUUCAAGAGGAACAAGAUAGGGCUUCUGCCUACUUCUUUCACUCCAUUCCUCACCACUCCUGACCCUUGCAGGUCCACAGACCAGCCAGACUGAACCACUUGCAGUUCCCAGAAAUAUGCUCUCCUCUAGUCUUUGCAAAUAUAACCUAUUCUGCCUAGAGCAGUGUGUUCCUGAUC